CCUAUCAGACCCUAUAGCUCUGUUUUCUUUACAAAGUCAAGUCAAAGUUUCAAAGUUCGCAUUGGCUUCUAUUGUUCUGUGUGGAGGAAGCAAACUCAAGACACUCGGUGGCUACCAUAUACAGAACUUGGGUCGCCUAACCCUUUCACGUAAACAACGGCUCAACCGAUAUACCGGUGAAAGAUGAAAGGACACAUGAAAGCCCUGCUCCUGUUAAUCGUGUUGGUUGCCAUGGUGCCUGACGGUGCUGUUGGACGCUGCCCGCCACACUGCGGGUACCCUUGCCCGCCAUUCUGCGGCUUUAAACCGGCUGCUCCAGAGCGCAAACCGCGAGACCUGCCAGCAGAUGGAGCCUCGACCGAGAUUGUGCAUGAGGCAAACGAAAACGAGGCCCCACACCAUCCUCUUAUCUGACCAUGACGUGGAUACAGCACAU